rfam:Aedes albopictus isolate Foshan contig143361, whole genome shotgun sequence.
CUUCUCGUAGUGUAGUUGGCAACGCGCCUGUCUAGUGAGUAGGAGUCGUGAGUUCGAGUCUCACCGAGGGGA